UCGAGAAUUUUUCACAAUGGGCGAAAGCCUGAUGGAGCGACGCCGCGUGGGGGAUGAAUGGCUUCGGCCCGUAAACCCCUGUCAUUUGCGAACAAACCUUAUUCAUUAACACUGAAUGAGCUGAUUGUAGCGGAAGAGGAAGGGACGGCUAACUCUGUGCCAGCAGCCGCGGUAAUACAGAGGUCCCGAGCGUUGUUCGGAUUCACUGGGCGUAAAGGGUGCGUAGGUGGUGAGGUAAGUCGGAUGUGAAAUCUCCAGGCUCAACCUGGAAACUGCAUUGGAAACUACCUUGCUAGAGGGUUUGAGGGGGGACUGGAAUUCUCGGUGUAGCAGUGAAAUGCGUAGAUAUCGAGAGGAACACCAGUGGCGAAGGCGAGUCCCUGGAAAACACCUGACACUGAGGCACGAAAGCUAGGGGAGCAAA
rnacentral:rRNA from 1 species